rnacentral:rRNA from 1 species
GACGAACGCUGGCGGCGUGCCUAAUACAUGCAAGUAGAACGCACAGUUUAUACCGUAGCUUGCUACACCAUAGACUGUGAGUUGCGAACGGGUGAGUAACGCGUAGGUAACCUGCCUGGUAGCGGGGGAUAACUAUUGGAAACGAUAGCUAAUACCGCAUAAUAUUGAUUAUUGCAUGAUAAUUGAUUGAAAGAUGCUAUUGCAUCACUACCAGAUGGACCUGCGUUGUAUUAGCUAGUAGGUGAGGUAACGGCUCACCUAGGCGACGAUACAUAGCCGACCUGAGAGGGGGAUCGGCCACACUGGGACUGAGACACGGCCCAGACUCCUACGGGAGGCAGCAGGAGGGAAUCUUCGGCAAUGGACGAAAGGCUGACCGAGCAACGCCGCGGGAGUGAAGAAGGUUUUCGGAUCGUAAAGAUCUGUUGUAAGAGAAGAACGGGUGUGAGAGUGGAAAGUUCACACUGUGACGGUAUCUUACCAGAAAGGGACGGCUAACUACGUG